AAUAUGAAAGCGGUGAGCGCAGAGCCGUUUAAUUAUUGUAUCACAGUGUCCCUGAGGGAACGUCACAGAGCUCUCAGCUUGACGUGGCUAGGGGAAAAGUUGGGUUUACCCCAAGUGAGGGCAGCUCAGUGGCAAGUGAACAGGGGAGGAGGAGGAUUAUGGACAAUAACGACAAAUCUGACACCAACCGGAAUCAGCCAUCAAGAGGAGGAGAUCAAUCAAGGUCCACUCCGAGCAGCAACGCCCCUUGUGAUUCCAAUACCACUCCAGAUGGAACCUGCCCAUUCCCAGGGGCACCAUCGGCCUCUGGUGCAUCGGAGGAGAAGAGCCAGACUACAUGAUGAGAAUCAUGUUUUUACUUGACAAGACUUCAGUAGAACAGGUUCAGUGGUGAGCGGCCUUUUGUGAGGUAGUCCUGAGGAUGACCUUGAAAAUAAAUUGUUACCCUUAG